rnacentral:rRNA from 1 species
UACAGAGGUCUCAAGCGUUGUUCGGAUUCAUUGGGCGUAAAGGGUGCGUAGGUGGCGGGGUUAGUCAGGUGUGAAAUCUCGGAGCUCAACUCCGAAACUGCACUUGAUACUGCCUUGCUUGAGUACUGGAGAGGAGAUUGGAAUUUACGGUGUAGCAGUGAAAUGCGUAGAUAUCGUAAGGAAGACCAGUGGCGAAGGCGGCAUCCUGGACCAACACUGACGCUGAGGAGCGAAAGCCAGGGGAGCAAACGGG